CAGGCUUUGGUAUCAGGAUGAUGCUGGCCUCAUAAACUUAAAGUAUAAUAAUAAUAAUAAUAAUAAUAAUCAUCAUCAUCAUCAUCAUAAAAAGAAAAAAAGCAAGAGGCGGAAGGUCACUUGGCAAAAAAAAAAAAUCAUAUAUUUCAACAUGUAAAUUUUGGGAAAACACAAACGUUCAGUACAUUACAGUAUUCCUGAGGCUUUCUACAAAAAAAAUUGGAAGAUAUGGCAACAUUUAGCCUACACUGAUGCACAACGACCACAUCCAAUAUAUGAACAACUACUUUUCCCCUUAAAUAAUGCGUAAGUCCUCAAAUUCACUUACUACCUACUGUUGUAUGUUCUGUAUUCCAGCCCAACCACAGUGGGUCUUGAAGUUUGAAGUCAUUCACCAUAUAUAAGUAUAUACUUUUAUAUAUGUAAUGGAAUGUUUUUGCUUUGUUUCAUUCAAAAAACUUUCCUUAAUGUUAUUUCUUCAACUGUUGUAAGAGAUGUAUUUGGAGAUUAUAUUUUCUACAUAUAUAUUUUUAUAUAUGUAAUAUAUAAUAUAUAUGAUGAUAUAAAUACAUAAUGUAUUUAUGUAAUCAAAAUGAACCAUAUAAAUUUAUGGUCAGGUGUGCUGUUUGAUAUCAUUUCUGGAAAUCUGAAAAGAGUGCCUGAACUUAAUAUUGCUAACAAGGUAUCUUUAUUGGUUCUAACAAUAGAGUAAAAAAUGUAGACAAUGCCAAAGUCUUCAUGGAGUUUACAUUCCAGCGACUAAGGCAGUAGAUAAGAAGAAUAAAUAAAUUAUAUAAUUUUAGAUGAGAAAUACAAAGACAUUAAAGGAGAAAAAGAGGAAAGAGAAUGAAUAAAUUUGGGUGCUGAUUAUUUUAGAGUAGAUCAGACAAUUCCUCUAUGAAGACACAGUAUUUGAGGAGAGAGAUGGUAGGUUUUUAUAUUUAUUAUUAGUAAUUUUAUUCUGAUGUACACAGGAGACAUUCCGAAUCAGAUUUCUAAUUAAUUAAUUACAUUACAUUGAAAAUAAGCAUGCUGCAUCCUAACCUCCUUGCUUCAGUCCUUUCCUCUUCAGAUCAUUCACUGAAAACUCAGAGAGGUUGGAAGCUGGUUUUCAAGUAGUGGUAGACUCCAUAGGUGAAAGAUGAGCAAAAAUAAUUUUCUCUGUGUAUAAAAUGGAAGAGGUAGCCGUCUCACUCCCUUCAUGAAAGAUUUCUUCUUUAGUCUAAUCCUUAGU
rnacentral:lncRNA from 1 species